UACGGAGGGUGCAAGCGUUACUCGGAAUCACUGGGCGUAAAGCGCGCGUAGGUGGUUUGUUAAGUUGGAUGUGAAAGCCCCGGGCUCAACCUGGGAACUGCAUCCAAAACUGGCAAGCUAGAGUACGGUAGAGGGUGGUGGAAUUUCCUGUGUAGCGGUGAAAUGCGUAGAUAUAGGAAGGAACACCAGUGGCGAAGGCGACCACCUGGACUGAUACUGACACUGAGGUGCGAAAGCGUGGGGAG
rnacentral:rRNA from 1 species